rnacentral:lncRNA from 1 species
AGGCUUGGGAUGAAGCAUGAGGCUUCAAUGGCUGUGCUGGAGAUGUUGUCAUUGAUAUUUGCUCAACAAGCUUUAAUGGAGAGUGUUCUGGGGACAGCACAGAGGGUAGAAGGAGAGUAUAAAUCUCUCCCUCUCUCUUCACACAAACACACACACACACACGCACACACACACACACAGUCUGGUCAUGCCAAGCAGCCAGAUGAACACACUGCUACACAGAGCAGCAUACACCAGGGGCCACACCAGUGGGUGGUACAGAGAAAUUUGUGUUGAGAUUGGAGGUGAGAAGGUGCAGGGAAGAAGGAUCUCCUCAAGGUGGUGUUGCAUCCAUCCCCUCUGCUGACAAUGCCCUCAAGUUCCUCUGCUUGGCCAACUCUCCACUCUGCUCAGGUCUCUCCUCCUUCAGGAAACCUUCCCUGAUUGCCUCCCUACUCUCCAGGCUGUUUAUCAGGCUGUGUCCCAUUGUUUGGGCUCUUAGUGCCUUGAAUCAUAUUAGUCUGUAUAAGUCCCUGACUUCUCCCUUGGAAUGUGAGGUCUGGGGGUGCUGGCACUCCGUCUUCCUUAUCUCAGGGUCCCCAUUGCCCAGCAUUGGACCAGGAAGACCACAGUGUCAGGGGGCCAGCAGGGGUUGUGGAACUGCACAGACAGGAAGGGGUCAGCAGAGCCAAAGGAAAGGGAGAAGGUCAGGCUUGUGGGUGGUGACAGGUGCCUGUCUGCUUGGAGGUUUGCUUUUAAACAGGUUUGCUUGGAGCUGAGGGUCCCUACAGGAGCAAGGUGGCAGGUGGCUCUGGAGAGGUGGCUUGUCCCCAUCCCAGUCCUCACAGCCAUGAAUGCUGUGUUUGCAGGAACUCUGGGGAGAGUGCCGUGGCUUCUCCCACAUUUCUUCAAAUAAAAUCUGGGCCCAAAUGCCCCUAGGCAGCUCUUCUCUGCAGAAUUGCCCUGUGUGUUUGUUUUGCCACCGUGGGCUGAGCUGACUGCAAGGGCUCAGAACACAGCCCAGGCAGACGCUGGGUGUGCAAGGGCAGGGCAUGUUUGUGUAUGGUUAGGGGACAAACACAACCUGAUAUCACGGUCAGAGCUGAGCUGUUGGCUUUAAUUCUGCAUUUCUUGCUCCUGAGGCUUUGAAAAACAAAGCACGCUUGGGGCGGGCUCACUUGGGGAAAAGACGGGAGCUCUGGUCUUAUCCUGAAGCAUCACAGUCUGCUCAGAGGAGAGUUAUGGACUCUUCCAAUGCUGGCUGGUCUUGAACUCCUGACCUCAUGAUCUGCCUGCCUCGACCUCCCAAAGUGCUGGGAUUACAGGUGUUAGUCACCAUGCCUGGCCGAGAAAAGAAGAUUUAAGAAAGGAAGCUAGAAGUUGUUCAUCGAAGGGAAGAGAAUCAGGAAAUGGUAAAAGUCACAGAUAUUAAGCAGAAAGUACUCAUUCCCUAAAGCCAGGAUUGAACCCUGGCCACCACUGUAAAAUGGUGGAGACCAAAAGAAAGGACUGCCACGUGGUUACAAGGUCAAGCUGCCAAGGACAUAAGACAAGAUGGAGACCUGCAGCACAGUUCGUUACUGACCAGUUUGCGGGGCUGGCUUGAACAGUGGGCUCAUGGGGUACUAGGCCAUGCUCUAUCCUCAGGUAUUCCUCCUUAUGACAGAACCAUGCAGAAAGACACACAAAGUACACCAGAUUGGCUGCAGCUUAAGAUUAGCCUCACAAAUCCUUUUUUUCCAUGCAUCAAAAUCUUACAGAGGAUAUAAACAGUGAUUUUCUCAUUCAUUCAACUGGUUUGCACAGGGAGAGGGAGACCAGAAGUCUGACUGGUAAGAAAUCUUUACCCUUUUGCUGGCAUUUCAGGCUUCUGAGUUCCCUUCACCCAAGCUCAAUUUUAAGCCAAGCAUUUUAAGGGUUGGGGAAAUUAACUCUUCCCAGUUUGGGGGACACAUCCAAGGGGAAUGUCCUAUGUUAGGUACAGGGACACAAUUACCCAUCCCCAAAGAGAGGACAGAGGAGGAAAAAGCAGAAAGAAGGCAUUUUUUUUUUCCAAAAGAAUCACAGUGAUUCAGGAGGCAUUUCAGAGAAGUACAGACUGAAGAAGAUUGGUUACCCAUCUCGAAAGAGGGGAAGAAAGUGUCCCUAGUUACUUUCUCUUCCCAGUGAAUACUCAGGGUAUGUGAGGGAGAGAAAGAAGAGGCAUCUCCAUUUGUUUUUUGGGUCCUUACAUCCCUGAGUCCCAGUGACCUUGGCAGGGUGCUGCCCAUGGGUGCCAAUGAGGCUUUCACCCAUGUUAACAGGGGGUGCCUAGGGGAUGGGAAUUAUCUGCAUUUGCCCACAUGCUGCCUGUCCCCCAUGCUAUCAGUAACCUUUGGGUUCCCCAGACCUCAUUUAUGGCAUGGAUACUAGCAUGACCUCUAUCCUUGAAAUAAGGGGGACUUAAUCAGCAGGAAUUAGUCAGUCACGCUCACCUGUGCUGUGCCCCUUGACUUCCAUUGUCAUCUGCCUCUGGAUCCCUCAGAUCCCGUUUUCCUUACUAGGGCUUCAGUCUGAAGCUUGGAAUUGAGUUUGAGACAAAAAGCUGCCUCAGGAGGGUUUAUGGACUCAUCAAGUCCCAGGUGGUCCUCACCAGACUGCAGCCAGCAGCCAACAGCCAACAGGGUCGCUCCUCUGCUGCUUCCUUAUCCUCCGAGACCAUGAUCAUUCUCCCUCCUGAAACAAUGAAAGCAUGGCUUUGAGAAGAGGCGUACCACCUGAGGUUCUGUGGCCAGGACAUGGCAGACUGGGACUAGAGCUGGACAUUUUGCCCCAAGGUGAUGGAUCCCAUCCUGAGCCUUAUACACUUGAGGAAUUUUCUCUACCUUCCUCACACAGAAGCCACUUGCUCACUUGUGUUCCAUCUUGUGUGCUUGAGCUGACAUGUGCAUACACCACCUGUUAUGGGCUGAAGUGUGUCCCUGCCCCAAAUUUAGAUGUUGAAGUCCUCACUCUCAGCACCUUAGAACCUAACCAUGUUUGAAGAAAAAAUCUUCUGAGAGGUAAUUAAGCUACAAUGAAGGCUUCAGGGUGGGCCUUAAUCCAAUGUGACUGGUGUGCUUAUAAGAAGAGGAAAUUUGGACCCAUGGAAAGACAACAGAAGCAUACACAGACAGAGGGACACCGCGUGAAGACACUGUGAAAAGGUGGCCAUCUGCAAGCCAUGGGGAGAAGCCUUGAGAGAAACUAGCCCUGCCAAUGCCUUGAUUUUGGACUGCUAGCCUCUAUAACUGUGAGAAAAUAAAUCUCUGUUGUUUAAGCCACUCUAUCUGUGGUACUUCCUAAUGACAGCUUGGUAUAGUUUGGA